GGGGGUGCACCGGUUUCGACGGGUGUGGUCGUGGGCUUGAACUGCAGGUGAGGUCGCCGGUCCUCUAAACCGACAAAAUUUAUAACUGCCAACAAUUCAAGCAGUUACGCAAUGGCAGCAUAGUUUGCUUUGCGCGGAAACUUCAUUGUGCCGCUCUGAACGGUGAAUGUUUCUGUCGAUAAUCGGGGCUUGCUGUGAAGGUUGUCUGAUUUCUUUACGGGACUUUUAUCAGAAUAAGGGAAUGACGCUUUCGGUGCUGACACCAUUCCCCGACAAAUAUCUCGCACCGAUAAACCUGUAGACGUUCCUGUCUCCUACAUUCGGACGGGGGUUCAAUUCCCCCCAUCUCCAA
rnacentral:tmRNA from 1 species